CCGCCUCAGCCUUCAAUCUCGCUUCCUCUCUAACCUCAUCCAGUAGAUCCAGGUUCAGCCUUCUCUCUUCAUUCGAGUCUUCCUCUACAAAGUUCAGGAAUCUCGGCGAGCUCUCCUGAAUCUCCACUGGAAUCAUCGCAUCACACCCAUAGACUAGGCUGAACGGGGUCUCAUGGGUUCCUGACUGCUCGGUGGUAUGGUAUGCCCAGACUAUACGGGGCACCUCCUCAGCCCAGCUUCCCUUGGC
rnacentral:lncRNA from 1 species